UACGAAGGGGGCUAGCGUUGUUCGGAAUUACUGGGCGUAAAGCGCGCGCAGGCGGUCUUCCAAGUCAGUGGUGAAAGCCCUCAGCUCAACUGAGGAAGUGCGCCCGAAACUGCAUUGCUUGAGUACCGGAGAGGAUGGCGGAAUUCCCGAAGUAGAGGUGAAAUUCGUAGAUAUCGGGAGGAACACCGGUGGCGAAGGCGGCCUGCUGGGCAGUAGCUGACACUGAGGCGCGACAGCGUGGGGAGCAAACAGG
rnacentral:rRNA from 1 species